UAUCCGCCAGAAAAUUACGAGCGAAAAGCUUAAAACUCAAAGGACUUGGCGGUGCUCCAUACCGACUUAGAGGAGCCUGUCCUAUAAUCGAUACCCCACGAUAAACCAAACCAAUCUUUGCCUGUUCAGCCUAUAUACCGCCGUCGCCAACCUACCUCAUGAGAGAAAAGCAGUAAGUACAAAAGUUCUAACAACUAAAACGUCAGGUCAAGGUGUAGCUAAUAGAAUGGAAGAGAUGGGCUACAUUUUUUAAGAUAAAACAUACGGCAUGGUACUAUGAAAUUUCUACCUGAAGGAGGAUUUAAUAGUAAAAAUAACAAGAAAGUUAAUUUUAAACA
rnacentral:rRNA from 1 species